rnacentral:rRNA from 1 species
GACGAACGCUGGCGGCGUGCCUAAUACAUGCAAGUUGAGCGCUGAAGGUUGGUACUUGUACCAACUGGAUGAGCAGCGAACGGGUGAGUAACGCGUGGGGAAUCUGCCUUUGAGCGGGGGACAACAUUUGGAAACGAAUGCUAAUACCGCAUAAAAACUUUAAACACAAGUUUUAAGUUUGAAAGAUGCAAUUGCAUCCCUCAAAGAUGAUCCCGCGUUGUAUUAGCUAGUUGGUGAGGUAAAGGCUCACCAAGGCGAUGAUACAUAGCCGACCUGAGAGGGUGGUCGGCCACCGUGGGACUGAGACACGGCCCAAACUCCUACGGGAGGCAGCAGUAGGGAAUCUUCGGCAAUGGACGAAAGUCUGACCGAGCAACGCCGCGGGAGUGAAGAAGGUUUUCGGAUCGUAAAAACCUGUUGGUAGAGAAGAACGUUGGUGAGAGUGGAAAGCUCAUCAAGUGACGGUAACUACCCAGAAAGGGACGGCUAACUACGUG